rnacentral:lncRNA from 1 species
UGGAGCCAGUCAAAGCCAGGCUGAGGAAAGCAAGUCGACAGGGAACGCCAAGAAAACAGGAUCGACACCAUCAUUUCCAGCCCCAGCCCAGCUCCAGGACAAUUACCCAACACACUUAUUAG